GACGAACGCUGGCGGCGUGCUUAACACAUGCAAGUCGAACGGAAAGGCCCGGCUCUUGUGGGGUGCUCGAGUGGCGAACGGGUGAGUAACACGUGAGUAACCUGCCCUUGACUUUGGGAUAACUUCAGGAAAAUGGGGCUCAUACCGGAUAGGAGCUCCUGCUGCAUGGUGGGGGAUGGAAAGUUUCGGCGGUUGGGGAUGGACUCGCGGCUUAUCAGCUUGUUGGGGGAGUAGUGGCUUACCAAGGCUUUGACGGGUAGCCGGCCUUGGAGGGUGACCGGCCACAUUGGUACUGCGAGACGGCCCAGUCUCCUACGGGCGGCAGCAGGGGGGAAUAUUACGCAGUGGGCGGAAGCCAGAUGCAGCAACGCCGCGUGCGGGAUGCCGUCCUUCGGGUUGUAAACCGCUUUCGCCUGUGACGAAGAGGGAGUGACGGUAAUGGGUAAAGAAGCACCGGCUAACUACGUG
rnacentral:rRNA from 1 species